rnacentral:rRNA from 1 species
GAUGAACGCUGGCGGCGUGCUUAACACAUGCAAGUCGAACGGUAAGGCCCCAGCUUGCUGGGGUACACGAGUGGCGAACGGGUGAGUAACACGUGGGUGACCUGCCCCGCACUUCGGGAUAAGCCUGGGAAACUGGGUCUAAUACCGGAUAGGACCGCACCGUGGGGGUGUGGUGGAAAGUUUUUCGGUGUGGGAUGGGCCCGCGGCCUAUCAGCUUGUUGGUGGGGUAAUGGCCUACCAAGGCGGCGACGGGUAGCCGGCCUGAGAGGGUGGACGGCCACAUUGGGACUGAGACACGGCCCAGACGCCUACGGGAGGCAGCAGUGGGGAAUAUUGCACAAUGGGCGGAAGCCUGAUGCAGCGACGCCGCGUGGGGGAUGACGGCCUUCGGGUUGUAAACUCCUUUCACCAUCGACGAAGGUUUUCUGACGGUAGAUGGAGAAGAAGCACCGGCUAACUACGUG